AAAUAAUCCCUCUAGACCGCCAACUAGCGGUAAAUUUCUGGUUUCGGUUUUUUAGUUCGGCAUACAAACGCCAGGAUAUAAUUUGGCAGGUCGAUCGUUGCUUUUCUCUCAUAUUUGAUGUUUACAUGGAGGUUUCCAUGGAUAUUUACUUUUAAGGCCAUUUUGACGUACAUAAAAUAGAAUUUUUAUCUUCGGCAAUUCCUGUCUGAUGAAUCGAUAAAAGAAAAUUGAAUAUUUUUGGGAUUAGUAAUUUUUUUUUCACUAUAACUAAUAAUGAGACCGAUAAAAGUAGAGGAUUAAAUAUGUAAAUGAAUGAGCUCGGUACUAAUGCUGGAUGCCAGGAACCAUGCCACUGUAUAACAGAUUUUAACCAAAUGUCUCCGAUGUCAACCAAAUGUAUCUAACUGAUUUCGACAAAAUGUAACAGAAAGUGAUGCCCCAUUACUUAUUAAUGCUUAAUGUUACGACAUUAGUGUUGCUGGGAUCUCAUCAACUAUUGUGGUAAAGCUUUGAACACCAUAAUUUUGCCGAUUCCUUGUUUGAGGACAUGUGUGAAUGAAUUUGUCCAUUUUCUGCUAUAAUUACAAUGUUCAAAGAAAUUUUCACCAAUUAUAAUUGACAAAAUUUGAAUUGCUACUUCUUCAGUUAUGCCUAUAGAAAAUAUUGUGUGAAAGUAUAUAGAUUUCAGUUUGUCUGUCCAAUGUUGAAUGCGACACUGAAUUUAUUUUCAUAAUUAUUUCACUUUUUUUCCAUAAUACAUAUUUCUGUACCUUAUAUCAUUGUGGUAAAUAAAUCUUUCAUUAUAUUGAA